CUACUUUCUACAACAGACAAACCCAAACAGGACAGAAUACCAUUUGUAAGUACUUUCUAAUCACUUGCACCUGAAAUACAGAACAUUAUACGUAAUAACUGGUUUAUAUUACAACCUGAUAAACACACUGGACAUCUAUUUCAGAAUCCCCCAUGAUUUGCUAAUAUUUGCUAAUAAACUCGGAUGAUCUAUAAUAGAUAUAAUAGUUAGGGCUGACUGUCUGACUAACACUAAACAAACUUCUCUUUCAAAACCAGUGCAUGGGACAUACCCUUAAUUGAGCUGCAGUCAUUGCAGUGGGAUUAUUAAGGGUGAAUUUUGCACCUACCCCAGGACAGGCCAACAGAUCAGGCUUAAAGGGUUUUUCACAUGCCAGAUUUACAUGUGAUUUAUCUUCUUAAGUGUCCGUGUGGUCUGGGCUAUGUGGGUAAAACUAUAUGUGCCCUAAAAGUCUGAUCCGUAGUAUAGACUACUGACGCACCAGUCGCACGGCACUUUAAAGAAAAAAGGCAUAACGUCUCACAGUUACCAAGUGCUUGAAAAGGUGCCGGUGCCCCUACUUACUAGAGAAGGUGCAUCUAGUAUGUGCCCGAUUUGGAUUUGGAUUUGGCUAUGUAUCUUAUCUUGCAUGGUCCUCUAUUACCAUUUGCCAGUCUGUCUCUCUUUACUUACCUUUGUUUUUUUCCAUCUUUUUUGGCAUGCUGUAUAGCUUUCUUUUAGAGAGGGUGUUCUUUUUAUAUUUUAUUUUCACUCCAUGUUCAAG